rnacentral:rRNA from 1 species
UACGGAGGGGGGCUAGCGUUGUUCGGAAUUACUGGGCGUAAAGCGCACGUAGGCGGACCAGCAAGUUAGGGGUGAAAUCCCGGGGCUCAACCCCCGGAACUGCCUUUAAAACUGUUGGUCUGGAGGUCGAGAGAGGUGAGUGGAAUUCCGAGUGUAGAGGUGAAAUUCGUAGAUAUUCGGAGGAACACCAGUGGCGAAGGCGGCUCACUGGCGUCGAUACUGACGCUGGAGGUGCGAAAGCGUGGGGAGC